rnacentral:rRNA from 1 species
UACGAAGGGGGCUAGCGUUGUUCGGAAUUACUGGGCGUAAAGCGCACGUAGGCGGCUUUCUAAGUCGGGGGUGAAAUCCUGGAGCUCAACUCCAGAACUGCCUUUGAUACUGGAGAGCUUGAGUCCGGGAGAGGUGAGUGGAACUCCGAGUGUAGAGGUGAAAUUCGUAGAUAUUCGGAAGAACACCAGUGGCGAAGGCGGCUCACUGGCCCGGUACUGACGCUGAUGUGCGAAAGCGUGGGGAGCA